rnacentral:rRNA from 1 species
UGGGGAAUUUUGGACAAUGGGGGAAACCCUGAUCCAGCCAUCCCGCGUGUGCGAUGAAGGCCUUCGGGUUGUAAAGCACUUUUGGCAGGAAAGAAACGUCGCGGGUUAAUACCCCGCGAAACUGACGGUACCUGCAGAAUAAGCACCGGCUAACUACGUGCCAGCAGCCGCGGUAAUACGUAGGGUGCAAGCGUUAAUCGGAAUUACUGGGCGUAAAGCGUGCGCAGGCGGUUCGGAAAGAAAGAUGUGAAAUCCCAGAGCUUAACUUUGGAACUGCAUUUUUAACUACCGGGCUAGAGUGUGUCAGAGGGAGGUGGAAUUCCGCGUGUAGCAGUGAAAUGCGUAGAUAUGCGGAGGAACACCGAUGGCGAAGGCAGCCUCCUGGGAUAACACUGACGCUCAUGCACGAAGGCGUGGGGAGCAAACAGGAUUAGAUACCCUGGUAGUCCACGCCCUAAACGAUGUCAACUAGCUGUUGGGGCCUUCGGGCCUUGGUAGCGCAGCUAACGCGUGAAGUUGACCGCCUGGGGAGUACGGUC